rnacentral:rRNA from 1 species
GUAGUUUAAGUUGUGUGCAAGUGGUAGGAGAGCGUUCUAUUUGCGUCGAAGGUAUACCGGUAAGGAGUGCUGGAGCGAAUAGAAGUGAGCAUGCAGGCAUGAGUAGCGAUAAUUAAUGUGAGAAUCAUUAACGCCGUAAACCCAAGGUUUCCUACGCGAUGCUCGUCAUCGUAGGGUUAGUCGGGUCCUAAGUCGAGUCCGAAAGGGGUAGACGAUGGCAAAUUGGUUAAUAUUCCAAUACCAACAUUAGUGUGCGAUGGAAGGACGCUUAGGGCUAAGGGGGCUAGCGGAUGGAAGUGCUAGUCUAAGGUCGUAGGAGGUUAUACAGGCAAAUCCGUAUAACAAUACUCCGAGAACUGAAAGGCUUUUUGAAGUCUUCGGAUGGAUAGAAGAACCCCUGAUGCCGUCGAGCCAAGAAAAGUUUCUAAGUUUAGCUAAUGUUGCCCGUACCGUAAACCGACACAGGUGGGUGGGAUGAGUAUUCUAAGGCGCGUGGAAGAACUCUCUUUAAGGAACUCUGCAAAAUAGCACCGUAUCUUC